ACCACACAUUUUUCUUGGUUAUCCAUUCAUGCCCACCAUUCAUCCCGUGCACCUCUCUCUCCCCUCUGGCCUACCUUCAAUCAAUAGCUUGCCGGCGAUGGAAGAGGUGUGUGGCGAGCUGCGGUCCUGGGGCUGCACACAUGAAGCUGCGGAUGUGCGGGAGCACCACUCUCGGUGAGCACGGACGCACGGUGCCAAAGCUACAUCGACAACUUGGUGUUUCCACUUUUCAACCUAAUACGACGACGGUAGGAUGGUAUGCUGCAACCAACGGCCCCUACUACUACGACCAACGAGGUGGUCUCUGCCGUGAAGAUGGACGACGGCUGCGGCGAUUUUUGUGCUGGAACCCACGACUGCCUCUACAUCAACCGGCCAGCCAUUUUGCUGGAACCAGCAUCGGUAAUUGCUGCCAUCAGUCACGCAAUAUGCUGGAAACAGACGCGCACUCGCCGGCGGCAUUUUUUUUUGCUGGAACCAGUCUUUUGCUUUGUUGGAACUAGCAUUUUUGUUUGCUACAAUAAAAUCAGGGGGAGUUCACCUUGCCAGUGUUUGAUUUUGCUGGAAGUAGCUAUCUUUUUUUUGCUACAAAGCAACCACACGAGUUCGCCCUGUUUACUUGUUUUUGCUCCAUCCAAUGUUUUGUUUUGCUGGAAGUAGCUAUCAUUUUUGGUACAAAUCGACCACACCAACUCUUCUUGUUUAGUUGUUUUUUGCUGGAUCUGAUGUUUUGUUUUGCUGGAAUCUGGUAUUUUUUUGCUUCAACCAACCAAUGGAGGAUUGUUGCUUUCAGAUCCUUUUGCCAGACACGUCAGUACAAACCGACCAUUGCGGCGAGCCGGAACCAGAGCAUGGCGAUGAGCUAGAACUGGCGAGCUUGCUUUGCUGCAACCAGCCGCAGGCUGCUAGGAUAAGCAGGGCCAGAAGCUGGAACAGGCGUCCAAAUUUGCUAGAACGGGAGAUCUGGAUUGUUGCAUCGUUCGCCACAUAGGGGAACUACGAAGUUGGCGAGCUGGAAUCGGCGGCCAAUUUUGCUGGAGCCGGCAUCUCGGCAAGCUGGAACCAUCUGACGGCAGGCGAUGGCUGAAUGGCUGAUUCGACGCUGACGGUGUUUUGCUGUGAGCAGUGAUGGAAAAGCUUUUCACGGAACCACUGAAGGCCAAGGCCCAGCACAGCCAGACCGGCCCAGGAGGUCUGCCAAGCCUAACCGACGAGUGGUUGGGCCAAUGUGGAGUAAGUGAGGCUACUUAAGGCGCGUGCAAGCAGUAUCGAUAGAUCACAGACUGAACCGGCGCCGUUGGGCGAUGUAUCCCUCCUCCUCCUCCGGGCUCUCGUCUCCCAAUCCCCUUCUUGCUGAUGAACCCUAGGACACUAUUGUACCACUGAUUUGGCUGAGUAAGAAUAAAUCGAACUACCUAGACCCUAGAUCCGUAUCAUCUGGUAAUCAGAGCCUUCAAUCCCACAAAAUGUUUCCCUUCCGGGUCUCGAUCUGGCGUCAAAGACCCGCAGCCUCAAGGAGAUCAUGCCGGGGACGGAUGUCCAGAAGCAGUUGGAGGAAGCGGCGGCGGAGCGGAGUGGCAUCGCCAAAGCCCUCCUAUCAAUCCAGCAAACACUGGAU
rnacentral:rRNA from 1 species